rnacentral:rRNA from 1 species
UCCUACGGGAGGCUGCAGUGGGGAAUAUUGGACAAUGGGCGCAAGCCUGAUCCAGCCAUGCCGCGUGAGUGAUGAAGGCCCUAGGGUUGUAAAGCUCUUUCGCCAGGGACGAUAAUGACGGUACCUGGAUAAGAAGCCCCGGCUAACUUCGUGCCAGCAGCCGCGGUACUACGAAGGGGGCUAGCGUUGUUCGGAAUCACUGGGCGUAAAGCGCACGUAGGCGGAUUUUUAAGUCAGGGGUGAAAUCCCGAGGGUCAACCUCGGAACUGCCUUUGAUACUGGAAGUCUCGAGUCCGGGAGGGGUGAGUGGAACUGCGAGUGUAGAGGUGAAAUUCGUAGAUAUUCGCAAGAACACCAGUGGCGAAGGCGGCUCACUGGCCCGGUACUGACGCUGAGGUGCGAAAGCGUGGGGAGCAAACAGGAUUAGAUACCCUUGUAGUCUC